CCUACGGGAGGCUGCAGUGAGGAAUAUUGGUCAAUGGACGCAAGUCUGAACCAGCCAUGCCGCGUGCAGGAAGACGGCUCUAUGAGUUGUAAACUGCUUUUGUACGAGGGUAAACGCAGGUACGUGUACCUGUCUGAAAGUAUCGUACGAAUAAGGAUCGGCUAACUCCGUGCCAGCAGCCGCGGUAAUACGGAGGAUUCAAGCGUUAUCCGGAUUUAUUGGGUUUAAAGGGUGCGUAGGCGGGCGGAUAAGGUAGUGGUGAAAUUCUGAGGCUCAACCUCGGAAUUGCCUCUGAUACUGGUCGGCUAGAGAGGAGGUGCGGUAGGCGGAAUGUGUGGUGUAGCGGUGAAAUGCUUAGAGAUCAUACAGAACACCGAUUGCGAAGGCAGCAUACCAAGCUACUACUGACGUUGAGGCACGAAAGCGUGGGGAGCAAACAGGAUUAGAUACCCCGGUAGUC
rnacentral:rRNA from 1 species